GGAAUAUUGGUCAAUGGCCGAGAGGCUGAACCAGCCAUGCCGCGUGCGGGAGGACGGCCCUAUGGGUUGUAAACCGCUUUUGUUGGGGAGCAAUAAGGAGCACGCGUGCUUCGAUGAGAGUACCCAGCGAAUAAGCAUCGGCUAACUCCGUGCCAGCAGCCGCGGUAAUACGGAGGAUGCGAGCGUUAUCCGGAUUUAUUGGGUUUAAAGGGUGCGUAGGCGGAUUAUUAAGUCAGCGGUGAAAGCGUGUGGCUCAACCAUACCGAGCCGUUGAAACUGGUAGUCUUGAGUGCAAACGAGGUAGGCGGAAUGUGACGUGUAGCGGUGAAAUGCUUAGAUAUGUCCCAGAACUCCGAUUGCGAAGGCAGCUUACCAGCAUGUAACUGACGCUCAGGCACGAAAGCGUGGGUAUCAAACA
rnacentral:rRNA from 1 species